rnacentral:rRNA from 1 species
GAUGAACGCUGGCGGCGUGCCUAAUACAUGCAAGUCGAGCGAACGGACGAGAAGCUUGCUUCUCUAUGUUAGCGGCGGACGGGUGAGUAACACGUGGAUAACCUACCUAUAAGACUGGGAUAACUUCGGGAAACCGGAGCUAAUACCGGAUAAUAUUUUGAACCGCAUGGUUCAAAAGUGAAAGUCGGUCUUGCUGUCACUUAUAGAUGGAUCCGCGCUGCGUUAGCUAGUUGGUAAGGUAACGGCUUACCAAGGCAACGAUGCAUAGACGACCUGAGAGGGUGAUCGGCCACACUGGAACUGAGACACGGUCCAGACUCCUACGGGAGGCAGCAGUAGGGAAUCUUCCGCAAUGGGCGAAAGCCUGACGGAGCAACGCCGCGUGAGUGAUGAAGGUCUUCGGAUCGUAAAACUCUGUUAUUAGGGAAGAACAUAUGUGUAAGUAACUGUGCACAUCUUGACGGUACCUAAUCAGAAAGCCACGGCUAACUACGUG